GUAUCCUGUCUGAAUAUGGGGGGACCAUCCUCCAAGGCUAAAUACUCCUGACUGACCGAUAGUGAACCAGUACCGUGAGGGAAAGGCGAAAAGAACCCCGGCGAGGGGAGUGAAAAAGAACCUGAAACCGUGUACGUACAAGCAGUGGGAGCACGCUUAGGCGUGUGACUGCGUACCUUUUGUAUAAUGGGUCAGCGACUUAUAUUCUGUAGCAAGGUUAACCGAAUAGGGGAGCCGAAGGGAAACCGAGUCUUAACUGGGCGUUAAGUUGCAGGGUAUAGACCCGAAACCCGGUGAUCUAGCCAUGGGCAGGUUGAAGGUUGGGUAACACUAACUGGAGGACCGAACCGACUAAUGUUGAAAAAUUAGCGGAUGACUUGUGGCUGGGGGUGAAAGGCCAAUCAAACCGGGAGAUAGCUGGUUCUCCCCGAAAGCUAUUUAGGUAGCGCCUCGUGAAUUCAUCUCCGGGGGUAGAGCACUGUUUCGGCAAGGGGGUCAUCCCGACUUACCAACCCGAUGCAAACUGCGAAUACCGGAGAAUGUUAUCACGGGAGACACACGGCGGGUGCUAACGUCCGUCGUGAAGAGGGAAACAACCCAGACCGCCAGCUAAGGUCCCAAAGUCAUGGUUAAGUGGGAAACGAUGUGGGAAGGCCCAGACAGCCAGGAUGUUGGCUUAGAAGCAGCCAUCAUUUAAAGAAAGCGUAAUAGCUCACUGGUCGAGUCGGCCUGCGCGGAAGAUGUAACGGGGCUAAACCAUG
rnacentral:rRNA from 1 species